ACGCUCGACACCUACGGAGGCAGCAGUGGGGAAUAUUGCACAAUGGGGGAAACCCUGAUGCAGCGACGCCGCGUGAAGGAAGAAGUAUUUCGGUAUGUAAACUUCUAUCAGCAGGGAAGAAACUGACGGUACCUGACUAAGAAGCACCGGCUAAAUACGUGCCAACAGCCGCGGUAAUCUGAGCGGGCGUGGCAAGGC
rnacentral:rRNA from 1 species